AAUAUUAAGAUUAAUUGAUGUAAUCACAAUAAUGACACUGCAAAUUUUAUGAUUUACGAUUGGAAGCUGUCUAAUUUAUGAGGAAGGGAUAGUAUAAAGAUGCAUACGCGACGUAUAGUCAGUAAAUGCUCGCAGUCUACUGCUAACAGCGUUUAUAAGUUUACUGUUAUUAGCUGUUAUUACUUGUCUGUCGAAUAUUCUUCAAAAAGGAUAAUUUUUGUGUAAUAAAGAAGUCCUCCAUCAAGUACAAAAUUUUCUUUGUUACAAUAAAGCGUCCGAAUCAAAAUAAUAUCUAUUCGUAACCGUCAAACUGGCAAGCCCGUCUGUCCGGCUCCUUUCUCUUCAAAAAGAAAGUAGGUAAAAGACGAGACUCAAGGGCCUAGAGCCGUUAAAUAAGAUCAAUAUAUUGCCAAAUACCGAGCAAAUCAGAUCUCAUACGAAUGUCUCAGACCCACUAAGUGAUCCACUAAACGUAACUUUUUUCUAGUGACCUUGCGUUGGAUCGCAUUCAGAAUCUUAUAUUACAAUGGCAGACCUAGAUAUUUCUAACAAAAUGGUUGAACAUGUCUGGAAGAAUUUUACCGUGGAAAAUGGCAUUUACAAGGGUAAAGCGGACCGUAAAUCGAAUAACUACAAGUGUGUUGGAGAAAUGUUAUGGACUAACAUAAGAAAUCAUGGGAAUAAUAUCGCAUACGUGAGUCGACGAUUACAUAUGACAUCAAAACAUUUAAAAUAAAAAAAACAGACAUAAAUA